GACGAACGCUGGCGGCGUGCCUAACACAUGCAAGUCGAACGGAAAGGCCCUGCUUUUGUGGGGUGCUCGAGUGGCGAACGGGUGAGUAACACGUGAGUAACCUGCCCUUGACUUUGGGAUAACUUCAGGAAACUGGGGCUAAUACCGGAUAGGAGCUCCUGCUGCAUGGUGGGGGUUGGAAAGUUUCGGCGGUUGGGGAUGGACUCGCGGCUUAUCAGCUUGUUGGUGGGGUAGUGGCUUACCAAGGCUUCGACGGGUAGCCGGCCUGAGAGGGUGACCACGCACAUGGGGACUGAGGGACGGCCCAGACUGCAACGGGAGGCAACAGUGGGGAGUAUUGCACAGUGAGCGGGAGCCUGAUGCAGAAGCGCCGCGUGCGGAAUGACGGCCUUCGGGUUGAGAACCGCUUUCGCCUGAGACGAAGCGUGAGUGACGGUAAUGAGUAAAGAAGCACCGGCUAACUACGUG
rnacentral:rRNA from 1 species